UUUACGUAGAGAAAGUCAAUCUCAUUUCGUCAUUCCUAUAAGUAGUAAAGUGGCUUCAGCAGACACACGUGUUACUUGGCGAAUGUCCCACGCCUUCCUUUGAUGAUAUGGUGAAGGUUCUCCUUGUAGUACUUGAAAUGAACCCGGAAGUAUUAUUAUAUGCUGGGCACGUGAUGGUUUUAAUCGUGUAAGCAACACAGACCUUCAUGAAAAGUUUUACCCGGUUGUGUUUAAACGUAUCCAAUAUACCACAUAUUAUUGAUGGUAUACAUUGCUUUUGUAACGGUAAAAUCUGCCCUGACGCCUACGCAAUUUUUUCGAAAAAUAACCUUUUCAUUUACGCCCAGAAGGUAAAUUUGCAAUUUCUCCUUUUUUGAAAAAUAAUUGAAACGAUUACUAAUAUCGUUGAAUUAUUAUUAUUGAUUCAAGAAUAAGACAUAUUAAACAGUUUUUAAUCAACAAUUGGUAUUAUUUACUAAUUAUAUGAUUUUUUUUGAUAUUUUUCUCUUCAGGUAUUAUCUGGGAAUAUUUCUAUUUUUCUAGUUAUGAAAAAUUCACUGUAUGACGCAUAAAAUGAUGUUUGGGUAAAAUUCUUUUUGUUACAGAUUUCAUAGCACUUUCACUCUUUAAAUUGUAGCUGCUGGGAAAUUUUCCCUUGCAAAACAUGUAAAGCUAUUCGUCUGUCUAAUCGCACAAAAGAUAAGCUAGUUUAUUGCGUCUUCUUAGCCGCAAUAAAAAAAAGCAAGAAAACCAGUAAAGCAGUAUUAUACACGUUGCACGAAUCACGGAGACAACUAUACUGUCGGCUAUAUUCAGACGGAUUUUUAAUUCCAUGGACGUUUCAUUACAUCAACACUCUAUAGCAGAGAGUUCAUUACAUCAUUUCUCACUAUGAAAGAGCGUAAUGCUUCCAUAUUAACCUGAAUUCUUACGAAAGAAUUUUCAUUUCGGCCAUAAAUUUCUAUUGUUCCAAGGAUUUCAAUGCUACUUGCUGUAUGAGACAAUUUUUUUCCAGAGUCAGUUUUUUUUAGAAAUUUGUGAAGAAAACAAAAAUUUUAAUUUAUUUGAAUUCAUCUUGGAAAAUGCAAGUAAAAAUAGAAAAUAGUAAUUACUUUUCGUUGUAUAGAUUAAAUGUCUGAUAUACGAUUUUUCUUUUUUAGAUUUUAGAACUGCGUGUAUUAAUUUCUUAUCAGAGGAGAGAAGGGGAUUUCCAAAAUGCGCGUAAUAGAAGAAAUGAAGGUCGGGGAAAAUCAACACUAUAGACUUAUCUAUUACCAUGUCUAUUGUGAUUGAAAAAAAGGCAGUGCAGCUCGAAGGUGGAAAAAAAGGAAAAUGCUUUUCUGAAGUGAAAGGUUGACGAACCAAACAUGAUUCGUGGGUAGACUUCAAUAAUGAGACGAAAUAAUAGAGAACACAGGGACAUUGAAGAACAGUCGCCUACAAUUUGUGAUUUAACAGGCAGGAAGUAUAAUUCGUGGAUUGCGAAGCUGUAAUAAAAGAGAGUGUGAGAUGACAGUAAAUCGCGAGAGGUAUUUAAUUUUUGUUGGCUACUGGAAGUGUGACACCCACCUAUCAGAAGUCCCUGGAGAUUCUUCGACGAGAUAAACAUCGGC